AUUGAACGCUGGCGGCAGGCCUAACACAUGCAAGUCGAGCGGAUGAAGGGAGCUUGCUCCUGGAUUCAGCGGCGGACGGGUGAGUAAUGCCUAGGAAUCUGCCUGGCAGUGGGGGAUAACGUCCGGAAACGGGCGCUAAUACCGCAUACGUCCAGAGGGAGAAAGUGGGGGAUCUUCGGACCUCACGCUAUCAGAUGAGCCUAGGUCGGAUUAGCUAGUUGGUGGGGUAAAGGCCUACCAAGGCGACGAUCCGUAACUGGUCUGAGAGGAUGAUCAGUCACACUGGAACUGAGACACGGUCCAGACUCCUACGGGAGGCAGCAGUGGGGAAUAUUGGACAAUGGGCGAAAGCCUGAUCCAGCCAUGCCGCGUGUGUGAAGAAGGUCUUCGGAUUGUAAAGCACUUUAAGUUGGGAGGAAGAACAGUAAGUUAAUACCUUGCUGUUUUGACGUUACCAACAGAAUAAGCACCGGCUAACUUCGUG
rnacentral:rRNA from 1 species